rnacentral:misc_RNA from 1 species
AACUUUCGACAACGGAUCACUUGGUUCUCGCAUCGAUGAAGAACGCAGCGAAAUGCGAUAAGUAAUGUGAAUUGCAGAAUUCAGUGAAUCAUCGAAUCUUUGAACGCAACUUGCGCUCCUUGGUACUCUGAGGAGCAUGCCUGUUUGAGUGUCAUUAAACUUCUUCUCAACCCAUCCAGUUUCUCUGUGUGUGGGCUUUGGAAAAUUGGGGGCUUGCUGGUUAACUAUUUGUCCAGCUCUCCUGAAAGCAUUAGCGGCAUCUGGGCUGCUUGCAGGUGUGAUAACUUGUCUACACCUUUGCAGUGGCUGCAUUUGUGCUGCUUUAGAGGGCAUUGAUGAAAUUUGACCUCAAAUCAGGUAGGACUACCCGCUGAACUUAAGCAUAUCAAUAAGCGGAGGCU